AGCGGCGAAAGGGAGAGGAAUACGUAGAAAUCUGCCCUCGGGCCUGGGAUAGCGGCGGGAAACUGCCGGUAAUACCAGAUAACGUCUUCGGACCAAAGGUGUGAUUCCACCUGAGGAUGAGUCUACGUCCUAUUAGCUAGUUGGCGGGGUAACGGCCCACCAAGGCGACGAUGGGUAGCAGGUGUGAGAGCAUGACCUGCCUCAUUGGGACUGAGACACUGCCCAGACACCUACGGGUGGCUGCAGUCGAGAAUCUUCGGCAAUGGACGAAAGUCUGACCGAGCGACGCCGCGUGCGGGAUGAAGGCCUUCGGGUUGUAAACCGCUGUCGUAGGGAACCAAAUUCACGGGGGUUCUCCCCUGUGAUUGAGAGAACCUAGGAGGAAGGAGAGGCUAAGCUCGUGCCAGCAGCCGCGGUAAGACGAGCUCUCCAAACGUUAUUCGGUAUCACUGGGCUUAAAGAGUUCGUAGGCGGUCUCGUAGGUGAGGUGUGAAAUCCCUCGGCUCAACCGAGGAAUUGCGCUUCAAACCGCGGGACUAGAGGGAGACAGAGGUAGGCGGAACAGAUGGUGGAGCGGUGAAAUGCGUUGAUAUCAUCUGGAACACCGGUGGCGAAAGCGGCCUACUGGGUCUCAUCUGACGCUGAGGAACGAAAGCUAGGGUAGCGAACGGGAUUAGAUACCCCGGUAGUCCUAGCCGUAAACGAUGAGCACUAGC
rnacentral:rRNA from 1 species